rnacentral:rRNA from 1 species
CCUACGGGGGGCAGCAGUGGGGAAUAUUGGACAAUGGGGGGAACCCUGAUCCAGCCAUGCCGCGUGUGUGAAGAAGGCCCUCGGGUUGUAAAGCACUUUCAGUGAGGAAGAACGCCUGGUGGUUAAUACCCAUCAGGAAAGACAUCACUCACAGAAGAAGCACCGGCUAACUCCGUGCCAGCAGCCGCGGUAAUACGGAGGGUGCGAGCGUUAAUCGGAAUUACUGGGCGUAAAGCGCGCGUAGGUGGCUUGAUAAGCCGGUUGUGAAAGCCCCGGGCUCAACCUGGGAACGGCAUCCGGAACUGUCAAGCUAGAGUGCAGGAGAGGAAGGUAGAAUUCCCGGUGUAGCGGUGAAAUGCGUAGAGAUCGGGAGGAAUACCAGUGGCGAAGGCGGCCUUCUGGACUGACACUAACACUGAGGUGCGAAAGCGUGGGUAGCAAACAGGAUUAGAUACCCCUGUAGUC